rnacentral:rRNA from 1 species
GAACGAGAAAGCGGGGGCAACUCCGUGAGUAAAGUGGCGCACGGGUGAGUAACACGUGACUAACCUACCUUGGAGUUCGGAAUAACCUCGGGAAACCGGGGCUAAUACCGGAUAACACCUACGGGUCAAAGGAGCAAUUCGCUCUGAGAGGGGGUCGCGGCUGAUUAGCUAGUUGGUAGGGUAAUGGCCUACCAAGGCGACGAUCAGUAUCCGGCCUGAGAGGGCGCACGGACACACUGGAACUGAAACACGGUCCAGACUCCUACGGGAGGCAGCAGUGGGGAAUUUUGCACAAUGGGGGAAACCCUGAUGCAGCAACGCCGCGUGGAGGAUGAAGUCCCUUGGGAUGUAAACUCCUUUCGACCGGGACGAUUAUGACGGUACCGGAAGAAGAAGCACCGGCUAACUCUGUG